rnacentral:lncRNA from 1 species
CUAACCAUAUGUCAUAGCUACCCAAGCUAAUGUAGAAGUUUAUUCGAAGAACCUAGUCAGUUGGAAUUACAAUAUAAUUCAAUCCUUCUCUAAUACAAUACUCUCAAUCACAUCAUUAGGGUAUGGAUAUAUCAUGUCAAACCCCUAAUGUGAUUAUUCCUUCUUAUAUGAUCCAAUUGAGUCGUAUAGGAACGCUUCCCUUUAUUGCGCUCGAUACUUCGGCCGAAGAUUCCCGAAUCAUAUCUUAGAGUAUUCUUCCUCUCUUAUCGAGGAUUAGAGAUUCCUUGUUGCGCAUACACUUGCCUUCAUGACUAAGUGGCUUAACCCCAACUAUGCCGUUGACACUCUGAUAGAGUGACGUUGACAUAAUCAAAGAUUAAGUACUUAACCACAAGACAACGACGAUGCCUCAGGUCAAAGGAUUACUUACAUUAUUCCAACCAUUUGAGUUACUUGCUUGACAUGUGAGUAGACCUCCAUACAAGUACUCUGAGUCGAUUGUGUUCAGUGAACUCAUUCCCUUAAUGAGCACCUACAUACUUGUCUUAGUGUCACAACACGAAUGGGUUGAGACUUUCCAUCCUUCCAAUUGAAGCGGACACAGUAUGUACCGGUCUAAGCAUUGUCAGUAUCCCUCCGACAAUCCAACGACCAGGAACCUUUUGGACAUAAUGGUUAUGUGAAGAAGGUCUCUGUAGUCUAACAUCAUUAGAUUACUUCUUCAAUCGAUCCAUUGUCCAUGGAUUCACUAUUCAGGACUUAUAUCGUUUAUUGAGAUAGUCCUAAUUAGUAUCUUUGCCAUUUCAUGUAUAAGAAUCAUCCAUACAUCGAUUCAUUUGUCCUGAAAGAUUUCUUCCAAAGAUUGACUUUCAAGGCAUAUUUCCAACAUGGAGGAUGUUAUUGAUGAUAGUAUUCAGAGCGGUGUAUUAUUUGGGCUUUGGGGAACCUGCUUGUCUCAACGUCCUCCUCUUAUAGCCUAUCGUGGAAAAUGAGAUGGAGUGUCUAUGUUCGUCCUUCUUCUACCGGUCAUCUUAAUGUAAUCUGGUUCAAUUGUUGUCCUCCUGCUCUUAUCAUCCCAGUCAGUCAAGUUGUCCCAAUGUAGUCAUAUUUCUUCUUAUUCAGCUUCUGGGAAAGAGGUGAAUUGGACGUAGAGACCUUGCUUGAAUACCAUGGUCGCCAAUGUGUCAUAUGGUUUUUCCACUAAGGCCAGCUCUGCCGAAAAGCAUUUCAAAUAAGCUCUCAGAUUACAUCUCUGGUUUGAGGAAGCAAUCUAAACAUAGCUUCGCGACAUUUGUGAACAUCGCAGUAGGCAGAAUAAGUGUUGGUGAAUAAGUUAGCUAAAGUCCCAAAAUAGUCAAUGGACCUAGCAAGUAGCUUUGAAUACCAUCUCAUGGCAGGUCCACCCAAAGUGGAUGGAAACAUUUUGCAUAUCUAGGCAUCUUUGUUGUUGUACAAUGCCAUGACGUUCCUAUAGAGCAUGAUGUGGUAGUCGGGGUCGAAAUCACUGCGGAAUGACUUAAACCUUAAUUAAGAUAACUUUUCAAGUGGAGGCG